GGGCUCUCUUGGGCAGCACAUAACCUAAAAUUGGAAUGAUAAAGAGAAGAUUGGCAUGGCACCUGCCCAAGGAUGACAUGAAAAUUUGUGAAGCACUCUAUAUUUUU